rnacentral:lncRNA from 1 species
CCCUAUUUACAAAGACUUUGUGUCCAUUUUUAGAAGUGAUUUUCAGAAGUGAUCUAAACAAAAUGCAAACUCUACCUGUUGUUUUCUCCUCAUUCUUUUUGCCGUUUUCACACUUCCUGACAUAUUCUUUGGUUCGACAGAAAUAACCACCUCAGGGGAGUGGAUGGAUCAAUUUCUCCAUCCAACUUAUUUGAAGUCCUAGAUCUAUAAACCAGUCUUUCCUGGGAUGGGAGGGAAUCCUGGUUGAGGAACAGAUGUUUGUUGUCCUUUGCUUUCCCCUCCCGGGUCAGAAGCCGUUUGUUUCCCUAGCUCUGCUCCAGCCCAGGAUGGACGCUCGGUGCCAUCGGCUCCACUCAGUGUGUUAGCGGCAGGCGGGAUCUGAUGUGCCAAGGGGACUGCUGGAUGCAGGGCGUGGAGUACAGCCGAGUAUCACACGGGUCCGCAAACCUCGCGCUGGAGUUUUGCAGGCUCUGCCGUCCCGCCCAGAAGUGGCAGUGGGCAGGAUUUGACCCUGUGACCCUAGUUCUCAGGUCUGGAUGAUCUUCAAAGCUCCGGUGACUCCUUCGGUUAGCAGUAAGUUUCUUUGGUACCAUAUACACAGUUCAUUAAAUACAUGAUCUCAAGUACAGCACCAACAGCUUAAGUGUUGUUUUAGAUAACACGUCUCCCUUCUCUUCCAGUGAUAAAUUGAAUCCAGCAGCAUUUAUGGAGAACCUCAGAUUUACCAGGUGAUGUUCUUGCUGCUGGCGAGUCCCACAGUGUGCAUGACUAAGUCCUGGACCUCAGGUGGUUCCCGGUGUAAAGAAGGAGACCCACACAUGCAGACACGCAGCUCAGAAAGUUCUAUCCUUUUGCUAAAAUCCAGCAUCGAGACUUGAAUCAUGUUCCUCUGCCUCCAGAUUUCAAAGGCCAGAGGGACCAAGUGUAAGGACAUUGUAGUGUGACAUGUGAAUCUGGUGUGGCAUCUCAAGCACUUUCCUGUGGGCACCAGUGGUCAUGACGUGUGUCUGUGUGUGUCUGUGUGCGCACGCGCACGCAGCACUGGGGAUGGAACCCAGGGCCUUCACACUGAGUUAACAGCCCCAGCCCCUUUUCUAUUUUUAUUUUGAGACAGGGUCUUGCUAAGUGGCCCAGGCUGGGGAUGAAUUUAUAACCCUCCUGCCUCAGCCUCCCAAAGUGCUUGGAUUAUAGGGAGGUCCAGACACAGACUAGGACUGGUUCACAGAGCGAGGCCACACCAGACUGCACCGGAGGCCAGACGGUGGCCACAGGGAGCAAAAGUUGGGCCUCUGUUCAACUCCAAGGAAGUAGAUGUGUCUUAGGGCCCAGCAGGCCUGCGGAGAACUUCCCGUCCCGGAGGUGACAUGGGAUGCUCCGUGAGAGUGGCACGUCAGACCAUGUUUCCCUUGGCUGAGGCAGCGCCCAGUUGCCCCGAGCACCGAGUGUCAUGCUGUGUGUCUUUUUCAGCCAGGUAAGGCCCUGAUGCUGAGACCGCAAACAAGUUAUUACGCCAAGAUGCUGAACUUAGCAUGUAUUUCAGUACCGUCCCUGUGACAGGGUGUCUCUUCCACGAGACGUGCACUGACUGGUAGUUGUGGCCCUGUGCGUGGAAGCAUCGCGAGGCUUGCCUCAGUCACAGCCUAAGUAGCCACACUGAUGUUGUUGGGGGAGU